GAGUCCACUGCUCAUCUCCUAUUCCAGUGUAGAUUCACCGUAUGCGUUUGGAAUGAGGUCGUCGCUUGGUUACGCAUGCACGGUCACUCACCGAUGACUUGGUGACAUGAGGUCUCUGUUCAUGAUUGGUGGCUAAAAAUGAUCGACUCGGGCGGCUACAUCAAGAAGGCGCUUGUCUCCGUGAUGAUGAUUGUCUCGUGGGAAAUUUGGAAGGAGCGAAACACUAAAGUUUUCCGCAAUACGGCUAUCCCGACUUUCGUUGUUGUUGCCAAGAUUAAAGAGGAAGCCCAUCUUUGGGCGCUGGCUGGAGCCAGACACCUGAGUCCUCUAAUGUUGCGAGAGUGGUCUUUUUCUUUUUGCCGCUCUACGGCUUAUGUCUAG
rnacentral:rRNA from 1 species